UCAGUGCUAGGAACCUGCGCCCGGCUGAGCUGAGCGAGGCGAGAGGAGAAAGCGAGGCCCGGGGACGGGACUGAGAGCUCUGAAAGGAGGGAGGCGGCUCCCGAGUACUCCGCGCGGGGCAGGCCCCGGCCUCGCCUCUUCGCCCAUUUUUAAGGCUCGAGUUAGAGGCCACCUCCUCCGAGAAGCCUUCGGUGACACCACCUCUCCCAGACGGUUCCCCUUUCUGAUUCCCACAGCAUUUUCCAACCAUUCACGGUCAGAACCACUCACCAGGACGUGUUGUCACCAUUUUACCGCUUUGCCUCGUCUCUUAACUAGACGAAAUGGGUUCCUUUUGGCUCUUUGGAAAGGGAGGCUGUCUUCUAUUUAUUUCCGUGGUAAUCCCACCUCCCACAACAAGUUCCAUUCUACAGCAAUGUCUUUUCUCUUGCUGAGAACCAUUCAAGUCUAAGUUUUCUGGUGGGUAGGGGUAGGGGGUGUGUUGCAAGACUUUUGUCUUCUCAACUUAUUUUUCUAGUUCUCACUUUCCUUAAGUGCUAAUUUUUUUGAAUUAGUGGUCUGCUCUCAACUGUACGUAUUUUUCCGUCCACUCCCUCCUUCCCCCAGCCGUCUUCCUUCCUCAUUGUGGUUUGGACCUUCUCGAGAAAGAAUCUGGCCUCAGUCUCCCUCUUCCACACUCAGGGACCGCCACCAUCACAGGCACUCGGUAGAUGUCUGCUGAAUGAGGAUAACUUCUACCCAACACCGUGAAGCCUGGCCCAGGGUCUGGCAUACAGAUGCCGUGUUUGUAAGAUGUCCAGCCACCACCUCAAUGUCAGCCGAAGCCCAGUGUCUCUCCAAAGCUCUUGAUCUCCAUUUCUGUCAGCGAUACCAUCAUUUCCCAGUCACUCCGUCCAGAAAGUCCUGGUUGCUCAUCUCGCCCACUUGCACAGCCCACCUGUGUGGCCGACUCAGGAUUGACCCACCUGCUCUCUUCAGGCCAUAUUCCCACGCAGAAGUGGGUCCCACUCCUCAGGCCUCUGUGCUGGCCCCGUCUGUGGGGUUAGCAAGCAGCCCUGCUCUCCAUUUCCAGCUCAGAAGCAACUGGAUCGUUACCUCAUUGGUGACAACUUGACUGUGCUGCCCAGAGCUGAUAAGAAACAUCACCCGGGGAAGACCAGCUGCCUCUUCCUUGCUUCCUAAUCAGGGUGGAAAUACUGCUAAAUAUAUCACAACUCUUUGCAAGCAUCGUUGGGUAAUGAUCGGGACAUCUUUGUGGGUUCCCUAUCAUUUUCUCACAAAGUUGAGCCUUUCAAGGUCAGUUCUAGGCCAGCCAGUCUGGGAGUCAUUCUUUAGAAUCAGAAGAGAAUUUAAGAAGAGGAGAAGAUAAGAUUGUCUCUAAAACCUGCUAAUGAGAACUACAGGAAGGUGGGGAUGCUAGCUACUUUUAAUAUUUCUGGUUUGAACCCCUUCCUCCACCCCAGAAUGAACUGAGAGUAGGUACAGAAAUAGAUAAUGCAAAGACGGUUAGGGUUGAGGGUAAGCAGAAAACUACCCAUCUAGACCGAAGGAAGGCUUGCUAACAUAUCAGUAAGCAAACAGCUUUCUAAUCUGCAGGUAACAAGUUUUACAUCCCUGAGGACACUUUUUGAGAUAGGACUUUGUUUGUUUGUUUGUUUGUUGUUUUUUGUUUUUUUGAGACAGAGUCUCGCUCUGUCUCCCAGGCUGGAGUGCAGUGGCAUGGUCUCGGCUCACUGCAACCUUCACCUCCCAGGAUCAAACGAUUCUCCUGCCUCAGCCUCCUGAAUAGCUGGGAUUACAGGUGCAUGCCACCAUGUCCAGCUAUUUUUGUGUGUGUGUGUGUGUGUGUGUGUGUGUGUGUAUUUUUAGUAGAGAUGGGGUUUCAUCAUGUUGGUCAGGCUGGUCUGAAACUCCUGACCUCGUGAUCUGCCCUCCUCAGCCUCCCAAAGUGCUGGGAUUAUAGGCGUGAGCCACCGGGCCCAGCCUGGGGCUUUUUGAGACCCUAUUGAAGGCUGAGGAAGAAUCUGGAAGCUAAAGAGUAACCCAUUCCACCACCUGCUCUGAAGAUAGAAGAAGCAAAAAAAGAUUAAAUUGUACAAAAAGCACUUAAAUUAGACAACAGAAGAAUUUCCUGAUACAAAGUGGGUGUCUAAGAUGUGUUAAACAAGAUGCCUGCUCCAGCCAGGACUCAGACACUCCUGGAUGGAGAGCAUCUUCACAGUUUGGGAUAAAAGUGACUAUACAGAGUGGUGGAGUGAAGGCUGCAGGCCCCUCCCCAAGGUGGCAUCUAACCCCGGAGGUAUCAGGACCUCAGAGGCUACCCACAUGAUUUCCAGCUGAUGAGCAGAAAUAGCUGUGGCAGGUGCAGGCUUCACUUGCUGCCACCAACAUGGGAGCUCACCAAACACCCAGUGGCCAAAAGAACCAGGGUCUCUCUAAGCCCUGGGCUCACCGCCAGGCAAGCUUGGGUGCUUGGGAGGGCCGUCGUUCUUCACAGUGCAGCCCCUGGAUUUCUUCUCAAUUUACUCAACUCUCUCUCUUGAAUCCCAUCUGUGCAGCUUAGAAGUCACAAAUUAGAACCCCCCAAGGCAAAGCUGACCAUAGAUACAAAUGGUUUUGUCUGUAUAGUGUUUAAGCACUUAAAAAAUUCAUUGUGAACAUUUAAUAAUUAGAAAGUGUCAAAAUGAAAAUAUCUAUAGUUUCUCUCUAAAAACCAGAAGAUCUGUUAACACUGAUCCCACACUUCUAUUUGGCAAUGACUGGCCCCUAAGACAGGGGGUAUGUCCUCUAGCUCACCACAGUCUCCACCUUUACCUACUGCAUCCCUGCUGAGACAAAGUGGUACAUGCCAUUUAUUAAGGAUGAAUGCUGUUUUUUUUAAUUAUACUUAAUCCUCAUUUGCAUUACCUGCCUUCAUUCUGGAGGUAUUUGAGUUUGCAUCUCCUGAUAAAGAAUAAA
rnacentral:lncRNA from 1 species